GAGGCAGAAAUGCGUAGCUGAUGGGAAGCAGGUCAAUAUUCCUGCACCAUUGUUAAAUGCGAUGGGGGGACGGAUCGCGGAAGGUUGUCCGGGUGUUGGAAGUCCCGGUCGCUGCAUUGGAGAAGGCGCUUAGGCAAAUCCGGGCGCAGGAUUCAAGGGUGUGGCGCGAGCUCCUUAGGGAGCGAAGCAAUUGGAAGUGGUUCCAAGAAAAGCCUCUAAGCUUCAGUUUAACAGUGACCGUACCGCAAACCGACACAGGUGGGCGAGAUGAGUAUUCUAAGGCGCUUGAGAGAACUCGGGAGAAGGAACUCGGCAAAUUGGUACCGUAACUUCGGGAUAAGGUACGCCCUUGUAGCUUGACUGGCCUGCGCCAGGAGGGUGAAGGGGUUGCAAUAAACUGGUGGCUGCGACUGUUUAAUAAAAACACAGCACUCUGCAAACACGAAAGUGGACGUAUAGGGUGUGACGCCUGCCCGGUGCCGGAAGAUUAAAUGAUGGGGUGCAAGCUCUUGAUUGAAGUCCCGGUAAACGGCGGCCGUAACUAUAACGGUCCUAAGGUAGCGAAAUUCCUUGUCGGGUAAGUUCCGACCUGCACGAAUGGCGUAACGAUGGCCACACUGUCUCCUCCCGAGACUCAGCGAAGUUGAAGUGUUUGUGAUGAUGCAAUCUACCCGCGGCUAGACGGAAAGACCCCAUGAACCUUUACUGUAGCUUUGCAUUGGACUUUGAACCGAUCUGUGUAGGAUAGGUGGGAGGCUAUGAAACCGGAACGCUAGUUUCGGUGGAGCCGUCCUUGAAAUACCACCCUGGUUUGUUUGAGGUUCUAACCUUGGCCCGUGAUCCGGGUCGGGGACAGUGCAUGGUAGGCAGUUUGACUGGGGCGGUCUCCUCCCAAAGCGUAACGGAGGAGUACGAAGGUACGCUAGGUACGGUCGGAAAUCGUGCUGAUAGUGCAAUGGCAUAAGCGUGCUUAACUGCGAGACCGACAAGUCGAGCAGGUGCGAAAGCAGGUCAUAGUGAUCCGGUGGUUCUGUAUGGAAGGGCCAUCGCUCAACGGAUAAAAGGUACUCUGGGGAUAACAGGCUGAUACCGCCCAAGAGUUCAUAUCGACGGCGGUGUUUGGCACCUCGAUGUCGGCUCAUCUCAUCCUGGGGCUGUAGCCGGUCCCAAGGGUAUGGCUGUUCGCCAUUUAAAGAGGUACGUGAGCUGGGUUUAAAACGUCGUGAGACAGUUUGGUCCCUAUCUGCCGUGGGCGUUGGAUAUUUGAAGGGGGCUGCUCCUAGUACGAGAGGACCGGAGUGGACGAACCUCUGGUGUACCGGUUGUCACGCCAGUGGCAUCGCCGGGUAGCUAUGUUCGGAAGAGAUAACCGCUGAAAGCAUCUAAGCGGGAAACUCGCCUUAAGAUGAGAUAUCCCUGGGGACUAGAUCCCCUUGAAGGGUCGUUCGAGACCAGGACGUUGAUAGGUCAGGUGUGUAAGCGCAGUAAUGCGUUCAGCUAACUGAUACUAAUUGCCCGUAAGGCUUGAUC
rnacentral:rRNA from 1 species